GCUGGGCACAAUGGUGCACACCUCUAGUCCUAGCUCAAGCAGGAGGAUGGCUUGAGCCCAGGGGUUCUGGGCUGCAGUGCACUAUGCCAACCAGGUGUCCAUACUAUGUUCAGCAUUAAUAUAUGACCUCCCAGGAGCGGGGGACCACCAGGUUGCUUAAAGAGGGGUGAACCGACCCAGGUCAGAAAUGGAGCAGGUCAAAACUCCUGUGCUGAUCAGUAGUGGGAUUCUGCCAAUGAAUAGCCACUACACUCCAGCCUGGGCAACAUAGUGAGACCCUGCCUCUA
ensembl:misc_RNA Metazoa_SRP Metazoan signal recognition particle RNA